CGGUAGGGGAUGGGGUCGCGGCCCAUUAGGUAGACGGCGAGGUAACGGCUCACCGUGCCUGCGAUGGGUAGCCGGGUUGAGAGACCGACCGGCCACAUUGGGACUGAGAUACGGCCCAGACUCCUACGGGAGGCAGCAGUGGGGAAUUUUGCGCAAUGGGGGGAACCCUGACGCAGCAACGCCGCGUGCGGGAUGAAGGCCUUCGGGUUGUAAACCGCUUUCAGCAGGGAAGAUAGUGACGGUACCUGCAGAAGAAGCCCCGGCUAACUAC
rnacentral:rRNA from 1 species